rnacentral:rRNA from 1 species
UACGAAGGGGGCUAGCGUUGUUCGGAAUUACUGGGCGUAAAGCGCGCGCAGGCGGCUAUCCAAGUCAGUGGUGAAAGCCCGGAGCUCAACUCCGGAACUGCCAUUGAAACUGUUAGCUGAGGAUGAGAGAGGUGAGUGGAAUUCCCAGUGUAGAGGUGAAAUUCGUAGAUAUUGGGAAGAACACCGGUGGCGAAGGCGGCUAGCACUGGCUCGAUACUGACGCUCAGGCG